UAAUACGAAGGGGGCUAGCGUUGCUCGGAAUCACUGGGCGUAAAGCGCACGUAGGCGGACUCUUAAGUCAGAGGUGAAAUCCUGGAGCUCAACUCCAGAACUGCCUUUGAUACUGGGAGUCUCGAGUUCGGGAGAGGUGAGUGGAACUGCGAGUGUAGAGGUGAAAUUCGUAGAUAUUCGCAAGAACACCAGUGGCGAAGGCGGCUCACUGGCCCGAUACUGACGCUGAGGUGCGAAAGCGUGGGGAGCAAACAGG
rnacentral:rRNA from 1 species